rnacentral:rRNA from 1 species
UACGGGGGGGGGGGCGAGCGUUGUUCGGAAUCACUGGGCGUAAAGGGCGCGUAGGCGGCCCGCACAAGUCUGCGGUGAAAACCCCCGGCUUAACCGGGGGCCGGCCGUGGAAACUGUCGGGCUGGAGGCUGGGAGAGGGCAGCGGAAUUCCCGGUGUACGCGGUGAAAUGCGUAGAAGAUCGGGAGGAACACCGGCGGGCGAAGGCGGCUGCCUGGACCGAGUC